CCGAGUUUACAACUCCCAAACCCAUGAGAACAUACCUACUGUUGCUUCGGCGGAUUCAGCCCGGCUCCUCGUGUAACCCGGAUCAGGCCCCGCCAGAGGAACCCUUAACUCUUGUUUUAUAUUGUAAUCUUCUGAGUAAGUUUACAAAUAAAUAA
rnacentral:misc_RNA from 1 species